rnacentral:tRNA from 1 species
GGGUGGUUAUCCCGUAAUUGGCAGCGGUGCAGACUGUAAAUCUGUUGGCUUCGGCUUCUAUUGGUUCAAGUCCAAUACCACCCACUA